rnacentral:lncRNA from 1 species
CUAACUGACAGUUGAGUUUCAUGUACGUACAUGCAGUUGCAGGUAUUUAGCUGAUACAUGAGUGCGCUUGUGCUUGUAGCACGAGCAUAAAAAGUGAUAUGAGCAAGGGCGCUAACUAUUAAGCCGGCAUACACACAUACAUACAUACAUGCAUUAAUAUAAAUAUGUAUAUACAUAUGUGAGACAUGGAUCAAUGGCUAUUAUGCUUAGUAGCGCAUAUAUAUAAAUUAAUUGAUAGGCUCUACUAUUAUGUGUAUAUGUAUGUACCGUUGUCAUAUUUACUACUACUACUAAAAGCGGAUCGAUUACAUUUUAUGCUUCAAAUAUCGGCUCUGAAAUGUUACUAAUUGGACAACAGCCAACGGUACUGUUAUUACUGAAAACCUAUUUGAGCCUUCAUGACGACCACCAUACAUCCUUAGCGUUGCACAUUCACAAAUCAAUGAGUUGUUAGCGAACAAUGACGAGCUAAUUAAUUCCCUCAAGUGUUUCCUUCGUCAUUGUCACAAAGCAUUUGCUGCUGAAGUAACUAUUUCAGUGGGGCAUGAAGCGCAGCCAUAUGAUAAGUAUGGUAGUGUUCUGCGCGCUUUGCUGCUGCAAGUCAUUUGUGUGUAUGUCAACAGUAAUGGUGUAAAGAGUUUUUAGAUUAGUUUAUUACUGAG